UACAGAGGUCCCAAGCGUUGUUCGGAUUCAUUGGGCGUAAAGGGCGCGUAGGCGGCCUGUUAAGUCGGCUGUGAAAGCCCGGGGCUCAACCCCGGAAAGUCGGCCGAUACUGGCAAGCUAGAGUACGGAAGAGGUAGCUGGAAUUCCCGGUGUAGCGGUGAAAUGCGCAGAUAUCAGGAGGAACACCGGUGGCGAAGGCGGGUCUCUGGGCAACAACUGACGCUGAGGAGCGAAAGCGUGGGGAGCGAACAGG
rnacentral:rRNA from 1 species